rnacentral:rRNA from 1 species
GGAAUAUUGGUCAAUGGUCGGAAGACUGAACCAGCCAAGUAGCGUGCAGGACGACGGCCCUACGGGUUGUAAACUGCUUUUAUGCGGGGAUAAAGUGGGGGACGCGUUCCCCUUUUGCAGGUACCGCAUGAAUAAGGACCGGCUAAUUCCGUGCCAGCAGCCGCGGUAAUACGGAAGGUCCGGGCGUUAUCCGGAUUUAUUGGGUUUAAAGGGAGCGCAGGCUGAUUGUUAAGCGUGACGUGAAAUGUAGCCGCUCAACGGCUGCACUGCGUCGCGAACUGGCAGUCUUGAGUGAGUACGACGUCAGCGGAAUUCGUGGUGUAGCGGUGAAAUGCUUAGAUAUCACGAAGAACCCCGAUUGCGAAGGCAGCUGACGAGUCCUUUACUGACGCUAAAGCUCGAAGGUGCGGGUAUCGAACA